rnacentral:rRNA from 1 species
GAUGAACGCUAGCGACAGGCUUAACACAUGCAAGUCGAGGGGCAGCACGGGAGUAGCAAUACAACUGGUGGCGACCGGCGCACGGGUGAGUAACGCGUAUGCAACCUACCCAUCAGAGGGGAAUAACCCGGCGAAAGUCGGACUAAUACCGCAUAAAACAGGGGCACCGCAUGGUGAUAUUUGUUAAAGAAAUUCGCUGAUAGAUGGGCAUGCGUUCCAUUAGGUAGUUGGUGAGGUAACGGCUCACCAAGCCGACGAUGGAUAGGGGAACUGAUAGGUUGGUCCCCCACACUGGUACUGAGACACGGACCAGACUCCUACGGGAGGCAGCAGUGAGGAAUAUUGGUCAAUGGGCGGGAGCCUGAACCAGCCAAGUCGCGUGAAGGAAGAAGGAUCUAUGGUUCGUAAACUUCUUUUGCAGGGGAAUAAAGUGCAGGACGUGUCCUGUUUUGUAUGUACCCUGAGAAUAAGGAUCGGCUAACUCCGUGCCAGCCGCCGCCGUAAGAC